CCAGACCCACACUGGCCAAGGCUGGGGAGUAGCACCACACCCUCCCUUUGACCUUUGGCGUCACCCUUGGCAGACUCCGGGACCUCUCGGGCCCCUGAGAGCAUUCUGAACACAGCCCUAAGAUGCAGGGAGCGAGGGCUGAUGCACUGAAGGGAGAGACCAACCAUGCAGCAGUAACAGUUCAAGACCUCAGGACCCCACUUUCAACAAGGUGGCCUCUCACUUUGGAAGUCAAGGGCAGAGCUGGGGUGUGUCAGGGACAUCAGCUCUCCUCAGAGAAGGCAGGAGUGUGGAGGGGUCCACACGGCCAUCAGGGCUCUGGACUGUCCCGCUCGGUGUGUCCCUGCUGCUGCCAUGGCUUGGGUCACAUCGGUCACCCAUGACUCAAGGCAGACGUGCUCCUGGAGAGCUGGCCCAUCCAGGCUGCAGGUGCCCAGCAUGGACACCUAGAGCUGGAUGUGAGGGUGCAUGCCUGUUCUGCUCAGCAUGAGGUGCCGGCCCCUCAGGGUCACCUUGAAGAAGCCCCGGCCUCCGCUGUGUCGGCUGCAGACUAGAGCGCCGCCCCCCGGCAGUGCCCGUCUCAUUAUCAGCUGGGCGCAGGGAUGGCCUCACCCGUGCCUGCAGAUGGAGCCCACAGGCACCAGCGUCCACCUGCACAGCCAGUUGAGGGAUUAAUCUUCCAGGCACUGUGACCGGCAGAGCUGCGGCAAGGACAGAGGAUAAAGCAAGCUUUGCCUCCAUUCUGGACUUUCUUCCCAAGCUUCUUCUACAAAGGUGCCCACGGUCAAGAGGAAAUUGUGCCUUAAAGUACCAGCUCUUCCCUGAGAGGCCGCCCUCCCUCCACAGAGCAGCCUGAGUAGCUACCAUCUCUGGGACACCUACUGUGUGUCCCACUCCAUGCUUAGUACUCCUCACACACUUAAUUCUCAUGACGGCCUGAGAUGGGAUCCCCAAUUUAACAGGUGGAGAAACUGAACCCCAGAUAGGUUAAGUAACUUGCCCAAGGUCACGUAGCCCACAGAGAGGGAGCCGGGUCAGUGGGCAGCCUCAGGCCCACGCUCUUACCCUUGCUGCUAUUCUGUGGCUACCAGGCACUAGGCUCU